UACAGAGGUCCCAAGCGUUGUUCGGAUUCAUUGGGCGUAAAGGGUGCGUAGGCGGCGCGGUAAGUCGGGUGUGAAAUCUCGGAGCUUAACUCCGAAACUGCAUUCGAUACUGCCGUGCUUGAGGACUGGAGAGGAGACUGGAAUUUACGGUGUAGCGGUGAAAUGCGUAGAUAUCGUAAGGAAGACCAGUGGCGAAGGCGGGUCUCUGGACAGUUCCUGACGCUGAGGCACGAAAGCGUGGGGAGCAAACAGG
rnacentral:rRNA from 1 species